AGUUUAUAAAGUAAAUCUGCCUUCUUUCGCAUGUUUUUGUCGCAUGUUGUUCUAAUGUGCCGGCGACUCUAAAACUCGACUCCUCAACAGUGAAUAAGCAAAGUUGGCGAUUUAACGUUAGACUAGCUAUGUUCUAUAUACGUUUGCUGUUAUCAAUGUUUUACGAUGUUUCACGUGUGUUAGUUUGAUGUUCUUAAAAUGUUUAUUGGACGUAUCGCAUUUCAGACUCAAACGACGUCCGCUGCGGCUUUGUUCUCGUCGUCAGAAGAAGAAGAGUAACACCAGUCAGCACCAAUGAUGUCAACACGUCAAGAAUCCUUCCUCUGGCCAAGCACAGUUUUCACCAGGCAUCAAUACCAGUGCCAGUAGCCUUGAAGUUGGUGAAACCGACUAAAGCUAUCAGCCUGAGUCAACCCUCACCCCCUCAUCAGAAGAUAGGCAUACGUCGCUGAAAGGAGAACCACGGUUCAAACAGGUGCACUGCAAGAAGUCCAAGCAAUGGAUAUUGAAAACAAUCUUCACGCCACACACCACCCAGUUUAUCAGACAUCUAAUCAAGAGGGUCAUGGACAGAUGACCCUAACAUCAAGUUCAAAGUCACAACCCCUGACGCUCGGGUGGAUUCCGCUUGCUGUGCAGGCCGUUGGUCGGUGGCUGGGGUAAUGGAGGUGUCAAUGCCAGUGGACCCUACAACAUCAUCCGGUAUCGGUCCUUUAUCUGGGGCUGCAUCCGGUCCUUGGGGGGCAGGCGGCAUCUGGUGUAAGGGUUGGUCAUCGUUCAGACAUUGGUUCAUCGGAAGGUUGUUGGUGAUAGUAUUGAGCUUCACUCGGUUGGAGUAGGCUUUGGGACAGUCCCUGAAUCUGUGGCUGGUUGAAGAACACAGGCUGCAUUCUAGUGGGGUUGUGCACUGGUCUGUGUUGUGGUCUGAUCCUUUGCACCUUUUGCAGUUGUUGCUUUUACAGGAGGCUGCAAGAUGGUCCAGGCUUCCACAUCUCCUGCACUGCUUGGGCUGGCCAGGGUAGAACGCAGAGCUACGGAAGGCUCCCAGCUGCGUCAUAAACGCACCUGGAAGCGUCUGGUUCCUGUUUUCACUCCAUCGAUGUCUGUAACCUACCUUCCAUUGGUGACAUCGCAAAACCUCGAUAACCAGGUCCACACGUCUUGAUUUCUAACUUUUUCAGAAAGGAUCAUCACGUUGACUGUCUUCACAUCUCUUUCUGCCAGUGGUAUCAUUGUGAUCUUCUUGAAGCUCGGUGCUGAUCUCUUCUUCUCCUCAAAUCUUUGCAUACAAAGGUCAAAGUUCUGUACUGUUGUAAACACAACUUAAUAUACCUUCUUGCCCGGGAAGGCAAAGAUGUAAUCCAGUUUGUUGGUGGAAAACUGAAGGUCUUUCAGGAGAAUUUGUCUACUGAACUGAAGCCGGUCCAUUUCGAGAUCUUCUAGGAGGUGGAAUUUCACUGCAUUCCAUUCCGAUUCUGUUGCAAGGCCAUGGCAACUGCCGGAGCAGUUGAUGAAGCCAUGGCCGGCUUAGCUAGACUGCGUGUUCUGUCCGCAAUUCACUGUGUCCCAUACACCGCUCGACUACAGACUUGGUAUGGGUAAUCUAAAUGAACGCCUAGAGGUUCUGACCUGAUCUAAAUGAACGCCUAGAGGUUCUUAAAGAAAUUACAGCCACUUCUUGUGUGUGGAAGCGAUGUGAUCCUGGGCGGGGACUUCAAUUGGCGAUAUCACUACAGUUUUUAUUCCAGUCAGUCGGAGAGUGGUGGGAAGACUUAAAAAGUCGGACCAAAAACUUUUUCACUAAAGAAGGGAAAAGAAUUGCAAUGAAAAAGCGUUUCAAAUACAAAGAACAACGGGCAAAGUCACAGCGUUUAUUUAUGAUGGCCCAUUCAGGGUUUUAUGUGGCAGUAGAGAUUUUGAGGCUAAAGAAGGAGAUGAUAGCUGUUGCUGCUUAGGAUUCAAAAGGCCUUCUUAUGCGUAGCAGGACUAAACACAUGGAAAAUAACAAAAAAUGUUCAAGAUACUUCUUUAGGAAAUUAGACAGGCACAGGAAUACUAUGUUAUCCAUUCCGAAUGAGGAUGGAAAAGAACAAACAGAAACUAAAGACAUCCUUGAUUUAAUACAUACAUUUUAUACUGAAUUGUAUAAAGAAGAGGUGACUGAUAACCGCCUUGGAAAACCUAUUGAGAUUCUUAAGCCAAACGUCGGUAUUGCCUCUGAACUCGAAAGUGACUUAAAUGUAAAUGAAUUGACCAAAGCCAUACAGAGCAUGCAAGAUUAUAAGCCCCCAGGAGCUGAUGGGUUACCCAAAUAAUUGUAUAUUACCUUUGGGGAUGUAUUAAAAGUAGGGCCCAACCGAUUCAUCGGCCUGCCGAUUUAAUCGACCGAUUAUAGCCUUUUUGAAAAUAAUCAACA